rnacentral:rRNA from 1 species
CAAUAGCGUAUAUUAAUGUUGUUGCAGUUAAAAAGCUCGUAGUUGGAUUUCUGCGCCGCGCAGCUCGGUCCGCCGCAAUGCGGUGCGACUGUGGCUGGAGCGUCGCAUCCUUGUGGAGACCUUUGAUGCCAUUGAUUUGGUGUCUUAUGGGAACCGCAUCGUUUACUGUGAAAAAAUUAGAGUGUUCAAAGCAGGCAUACGCCGUGAAUACAUUAGCAUGGAAUAAUAAGAUAGGACUUUGGUUCUAUUUUGUUGGUCGGAGGCCAAGGUAAUGAUUAAUAGGGAUAGUUGGGGGUAUUCAUAUUUAAUUGUCAGAGGUGAAAUUCUUGGAUUUAUGAAAGAUGAACUUAUGCGAAAGCAUUUACCAAGGAUGUUUUCAUUAA